GAAUCUGCUCGUAAGAACGUCAGAGGCGCCCCGAUCGCGAAUCGUAAGUAUUCAACAUGUUGAAUAUUUACGAUCAGAAAUCCUGAUGUGUGGGUGGGAACCCCCGA